UUCCACAAAGAAAGGCCUCUCCUCCACAUACUUCCUUAUUAGGGGUGGAUUGACCCGUCUGACUGCUCAACUGCGGCGCACAAAGUCAACACGGUGGGCUCAGCCUCCCUCUUGCCUCUUGGAAAGAAAGUUGACAGAGCAAGUCCAAGUUUGCGCUUUUUCUGGACGUCUGGCAACGGGCUGCAGAUGAAGAGAUUGGUAUCAGCAGACAACCAUAGCUCGGGGAAGGAGAAGAGCAAAAGGAAGAAAGACUGCGCCCAUGACAGAGUCCCCUUUCCAGAGAUCAUCGUUCGUGCACUCAGGGUCUACCUGUCUCUUUCGUCUUCCACCCACUCAGACAGCUCUUGGAGGGUUGACUACUGCUGUAAUUUGAAUCCAGUAGUUAAAACCCAAUCACAGAACGUCUCUGAGCUUAUAUGAGAAAUUAAAAAUGUUGUCAGC
rnacentral:lncRNA from 1 species